UACGUAGGGUGCGAGCGUUGUCCGGAAUUACUGGGCGUAAAGGGCUUGUAGGUGGUUUGUCGCGUUGUUCGUGAAAUGCCACAACUCAAUUGUGGGCGUGCGGGCGAUACGGGCAGACUGGAGUACUGCAGGGGAGACUGGAAUUCCUGGUGUAGCGGUGGAAUGCGCAGAUAUCAGGAGGAACACCGGUGGUGUAGACGGCUUUCUGGACCGUAACUGACGCUGAAACACGAAAGCGUGGGUAGCAAACAGG
rnacentral:rRNA from 1 species